UGUUCUUCCAUGCUUCUUUCUUUAUCUAGUAGAGAAGUUUCAAAGUUGUCUGUCCUCAACAAACAGACAACAUGUAUGAGGAAGAAACGUAAUAUAUUUGUCAAGGGAUUUAAUGAUUAGUAUUUGUCUAAAUAUUUAAGAUUAUGCAAAUAAAAUUGUUCCGUUGAGUAGACUAUUAAAGCUGCAGAGUAACUACAUGUCUUUUAUUCUUUCUUAAAGUUUUUAUAGAAUUAAAACUAAAAUUCGAGUAUUGGAUUUAUUUUUAUACUUAUCAAUUUAAUUGUGUCGAACAUUAUUUUUGGUAACAGGCACUAUGAGUUAUCCCGCACAUUAGAUGCACAACUUCUAUAAUUUCAGGGUGAAUUCUCAACGCUAGGAAAGUUUAUCCCUUUAAGAAUUGAUAAUUUUGUAAUAUUAUUUUCACUUUUUUCUGUACAACUAAUAAAGUAGUGUUCAUACUCCUCUUUAGUAUAUUUUUAUAGCUUUGUUAAAUGCAUAUAGUAAAAUGUUCGUGCAUCUUCUUCUCACUUAUAAAUAGUUUUAAUAUGUUUUACUAAAAAGUGAGGUAAGAUAUGAAUAAGUUAAAUUAGUAUUUUGUUGCUGGUUAGAUUAUCAUGCGCUACUACUAUGAAAGGGAAGUUCUAGAUUUUUUGUUUAAGAUUUUUUGUCAAAAUAAAAUUGCAAGAAAGGAAAUUUUCACCACUCCUCCACCUAAACAGCUUUCCCAUCAUCAAGACAUCUAACUAGUAACAUCUUAUUACUAUUAAAUUAUCAGGGAAAGAAACUGACUAACCAAAAUGUUAUGAUUAUUUACGAGGUUAAAACUCAAAUGGUGGUGGAAGGAACUCCAGGGGCUAUGAUCAUGCUAUAGUGGAAGGAACUCUAGGGGCUAAAAAGUUGUGUGGUUAAUUUUCAAGAAAACAUAUGAACUGGUCUAUGGUGUGAAUCUAUGGUAUCAAACAUAGUUAUAAUCGUCCCAAUUUUCAUAUCCCUAUUAUUGCUAACUGAAUGCUCAUCAAAGAGAUGGACAUUUCAAGGCUCAUGACACAUUUCAAACAAAUAAAGGAGGAGAACCUAAAGGAGAGAUCUAGAACAGAUUCCAAAAGAGCUCGAAUCGAUGGAUUGGGCGUCCAACCCUAAGGUUCAAGGAGGUGUUCCGAUUGGUCUAUUCUUUCCCCCAUUGAAGAAGUGGAUGGAAUCAUAGAGGAGAAUGCUUGGCAGGAUUGAAUGCAUGUUAUAGGUGUGAUAAGUUGGGUCAUCAAGUGAAGGAUUAUAGAGUUGGUGGUCGACCCCAGGCCCCAAACUCAGGUUCAGACUACUACGAGCCGACAUAAUCAAUAUGGUACUACUUCUGGAGGCAGCUAGUGCCAAAACAAGUUUUUUGUCCUUCAGACUCGUUAGGAGUUAGAAUAUUUCCCCGAUAUUGUGAUUGGUAUGUUAAAGGUCUUUGAUUUUGAUAUUUAUGUAUUAUUAGAUCCCAGGGCUACUCUAUCAUUUGAUACUCCUUAUCUUUCUAUGAAAUUUGUGCUUAGUCUUGAGAUUUUAUUAGAACCUUUUUUGGUUUAUACUUCUAUUAGUGAUUCAGUUGUAUCUAAAAGAGUCUAUCAAAAUUGUUCAGUUUUAGU